AUACGGAGGACUGCAAGCGUUAUCCGGAUUCAUUGGGUUUAAAGGGUGCGGCAGGCGGAUUGGUAAGUCAGGGGUGAAAUCCCACAGCUCAACUGUGGAACUGCCUUUGAUACUGUCAGUCUAGAGUAUAGUUGAAGUUGGCGGAAUGUGUCAUGUAGCGGUGAAAUGCUUAGAUAUGACACAGAACACCGAUCGCGAAGGCAGCUAGCUAAGCUAUAACUGACGCUCAUGCACGAAAGCGUGGGGAUC
rnacentral:rRNA from 1 species